rnacentral:sRNA from 1 species
UACUAACCUGCAAAAGGGAUAGUAGUGGAAAUCCUUUUUCUUUUCUUUCAUAUAAGGAAAAGAAAAAGAUUGCAACGGAUAGCCCGACCCAAG